rnacentral:tRNA from 1 species
GCCCCCGUAGCCCAACAGGCAGAGGCGACCCACUUAAAAUGGGUUCAGUGCGGGUUCGAAUCCCGCCGGGGGCA